rnacentral:rRNA from 1 species
GUCCACGCCCUAAACGAUGUCAACUAGGUGUUGGGUGGGUAAAACCAUUUAGUACCGGAGCUAACGCGUGAAGUUGACCGCCUGGGGAGUACGGCCGCAAGGUUAAAACUCAAAGGAAUUGACGGGGACCCGCACAAGCGGUGGAUGAUGUGGAUUAAUUCGAUGCAACGCGAAAAACCUUACCUACCCUUGACAUGUCCGGAAGCCCUUAGAGAUUUGGGUGUGCUCGAAAGAGAGCCGGAACACAGGUGCUGCAUGGCUGUCGU